rnacentral:lncRNA from 1 species
GUCCACUGCAGCCACAUGGGGAGGACACAGCCUGGUCCAGGACCUUUCCAUCAAUUUAAUUCCAAUAGAAUCCAGCCUCUUUCUUUGUAUGAUUUUGAAGGUAGAGUUGGUUUUGUCUUCUUGCUUACUGCCUCCUUUCGCUUGUUUAAAUAUUUACCUUACAUUUUCCCUACUCUGACUAGGGGAGACAUUUUGCUAACUUAAAAUAGUUGAGCGACAUUGUCCUCCACAGUCCCUUCUGGAGAUGUGAAUUUCCUUCAAACCUCUGAGAUUGGGGUUUAAGCCAUCUCUUCUGGAAUUCUCUCAUGGGGAGAUAAUUGAGUUCAACCGUUCCUUCAUACCAGGACCAGGUACCAGUUGUUAAAGAAUUAUGGAAAGCUAUUCCAGAGAACAUGUUGCCCACUUUUAGAUAUCUGCCUGAGCUCCACAGAUUCAGCCAGAGUCCAUUUAUACAAUGCUAAAUGAGAGUUUCCCACAUACAGGGAACUCUAACAUCUCCAGAUAAAUAGCUCUGCAAGGAGAAAAUGCAAAUUAUGACUUAAAGUCAGCCUCUACUUUUGUGCAGUGCAUACCAAUGUGGCUUUACCCUUUAGCUAGAGCAAUGGAGCUACUACUUCUUUUAUGCAGAUAGAUGCCCUGCAUGAGUUUGUUUCCUGAGACUGUUGGAAAAAUAAAUAGACUAUUAGCUACUUGGUUUCCUCUUUAGAAACCCAGCAGGCACAACAGGGAGAGACAUUAGUCUUUAAGCACCAGUUCUACGAAACAACCACACCAUAGAGCACUUGGAGCGGAACUGAAAAAGGUUAAAACAAGUCCAGAGAAAGGGUGUGGGCAGUCAGAUAGUUUAGCAGACGCUAAGCUUGUGCCAGGGACUUUUAUAAUCAAGGCUUUUGCAAUAGUGAUUUUGUAACAAGUAAAGAAUCCACACACAUGAGGAGGAAGUGUAAGAAAUCAAUUAAAACUUCAGAGAAUGAAACGUGGAAGGCAUAAAGCACCACACACUAAGAGACAAGGGGAAGAAUUAGUCACAGAAAUAAUCAUGAGGAAAGUGCAAUUGUGGGAUCAUACAAGCUGAGGAUGCCUAGAGGGAUCCCUGGAUGUCUGUGAGCUGUAAGGCUCAAGUGGAUUCCUGCAGUGCUCAGCAAGCCUCGCCAGGCCCCAUGUGCACAGGUGUGGGGGUCUUGCUCUGUCAUCCAAGCUGGAGUGCAGUGGUACAAUCACGGCUCACUGCAACCUGGACCUCCAGUGCUCAAGCAAUUCUCCCACCUAAGCCUCCUGAGUAGCCAGGACUACAGGUGUGUGCCACCACGCCCAGCUAAUUUUCUUUUAUUUAUUUAUUUAUUUAUUUAUUUAUUUAUUUAUUUAUAGAUAGGGACUCACUAUGUUGCCCAGGCUGGUCUCAAACUCCUGGGCACAAGUGGUCCUCUGUCCUUGAUUGGCCUCCCAAAGAGUUGAGAUUAUAGGCAUGAGCCAUCAUGCCAGGCCAGACGUGUGUUGUUUUUAAGCUACCAAGUUCACAGAAAUUUGCUACUGCAGCAAUGGGAAACUAAUAGAACGGGAAAGAGACACAGAGAUGUUUUACUGAAGAAGGUAUACAGACAGAAAUAAGCCCAUGAAAAUAUGUACACUUUCUUUUUCUUUUCUUUUCUUUUUUUUUUUUUUUUGAGAUGGAGAUUCACUCUUGUUGCCCAGGCUGAAGUGCAUGAUCUCAGCUCACUGCAACCUCUGCCUCUCAGGCUCAAGCGAUUCGCCUGUCUCAGCAUCCCAGGUAGCUGGGAUUACAGGCAUGUGCCACCAUGCCCGGCUAAUUUUGUAUUUUUAGUGGACACGGGGUUUCUCCAUGUUGGUCAGUCUGGUCUUGAACUCCAGACCUCAGGUGAUCCGCCCACGUUAGCCUCCCAAAGCACUGGGAUUACAGACAUGAGCCACCGUGCCUGGCCAAAAACAUGUACAUUUUCAUUAGCCAUUAGGGAAAUGAAAAAUAAAAACCACAAUGGGAUCUCACCACACACCCAUCAGCAUGGCUAAAAUAAAAAGUAGUGACAGCAUCAAAUGCCAGUUAGAAUGUAGAGAAACCAGAUCACUCACACAUUGCUGGUGGGAAUGUAAUGGUGCAGCCAUUCUAGAAAACUUCGGGAGUUUCUUUAAAAAACUAAACGUGCAACUACCAUAUCAUCCAGAAAUUGCACCCUGGGACAUUUGUCCUAGAGAAAUGAAGACUUAUCUUAUGUUCCUACAAAAACCUGCACAUGAAUAUUUACAGCAACUUCAUUCGUAAUAGCCCAAGAACUGGAAACAACCCCCGUGUCCUUCAACAAGUCGGUAAAUGAUUAAGCAGACUGGUUCAUCCAUACCAUGAAAUACUACUCAGCCAUGAGAAGAAACAGCCUUGAUACACAAAGCAACCUGGAUAAAUCUCCAGAGAAUUAUCCGGAGUGGAAAAAGCCAAUCCCCAAAGGCUGCUACACAGUCCGUGACUGCAUUAGUUUAACAUUCUUAACAUGACAAAAUUAUAGAGAUGGAGAACAGGUUGGUGGUUGGCAGGAGUUAAGGAGGAGGAGAGGGCAUUGACAAGGGAAGGAAAUGGGUAUGUCUAUAAAAAGGCAACUUGAGGACCCCUUGUGAUGAUGGAAAUGUUCUGUUUCUUAGCUGUAUCAAUGCCAGGGUCUUGGCUGUGAUACCGUACUGCAGUUUUGCAAGAUGUUACUAUCGGGGGAAAUUAGGUAAAGUGUUCAUGGGAUCUCUGCAUUAUUUCUUACAACUGCAUAUGAAUCCACGAUGAUCUCAAAAUAAGAAGUUUAAAACCACAAAUGUGGGGAGGAGAGAGGCAGAAGUGUUUGAAAAGGCUAGAAAUUAUCAAACAACAAUUUUAAAGUUCUAUUCAUAAACAAAGUAGAACUAUUUGAUUUCCCAUUGUAAAUAGAAAAUGUGAUUUUACAUGCCCAGUACAACAUAUAUGCUUAAUAAAUAUUUGUUGGAAAGAUGGUGGUGGGGGUGGAUGGAUGGAAAGCGAAUAGCUGCAAAUCCUGUCAGCAGGCAGUGUAGGGGCAGAGAGAGGAUGAAGGAAAAAGAAAAGACAAAGAGAUAAAGAAGGAGGAGGAAGGGGGAAAAAGAGCAGAAGAAGAGAAAUAAGAAGAGAGAAAGGAGGAAAUGAAGGGGAAAAGGAGGAAGAGGAAGAAGGGGAGGAAGGGGGAGGAAGAGGAAGAGAAAGAGAAGUCAGGGGAGAUGAGAAGCAUGGUGCUUUGUGGCAUAUUGACGGUGGGCAAGGCUGUGGAUUUUUCUGAGCAGCCUUGGUGUGGAGAAAAGACCUCCCAGGGUGCAUGGCGCCCGCAGACACCCUGGCUAGGCUGCCCCUUGUUGGGUGGAACUGCUCCCUCCCUCUUUGCUGGGCACCUACUUUGUCCCCUGGUGGGUGGCUCCUGUAUGGGUGAGGUAUUCCAGCUCUCUGGGCCCUUUCCUUCUCACCCUGUAUCGGCACAGCUCCAGCACCAGGUCAUGGUCACAGACAGUCAGAAUGUGCUGAUGGAAUUUUCCUGUUGAUUUAAGCUAGUGAGACCUUGCUUGUCCUGGAAAAACUGGACAUGAGAGAGGUAGGGGGAACAGGAAUUGCUUUCCAAGAAUCUCCCUCAUAUGGGGUGCUCUGAAGGCCUCUUUUGUCAUCUCCUUCUCCUUGGGAAGGGGUUCCUGGAAAGGUGCUGGUGCAGGAGGGCACUGGUGCAGGUAGCAGCUGGUGCAGUGCUGGACUUGUGUUCCCUGGAGACAGGGCCAUGAUCUUCUCUCCCAUGUGUCAAAUCAGACAAUGGACACUGAAACACUGCGCUGGGGCCUCAGGAGGAGGAUGAGGAACAGGAUAGGGGGACACCCACCUCUCUCUGCCCAGGACGACUCAGGGGUGUGCCUCCUAGCAGCUGUGAAAACACUAAAGGAUUUACAACAUUCCCGCUUAUGUGGGAUUUGGAUUCAUUUCCACAGCUCUACCUAUGAGUAAGAGAAUCUAUUCAGCAACAUGACAUCACGGAAUGGCAAGAGUGACAGCUGCAGAGGUGCCAGAUGUUGUCCCAUCUCUGUCUCACUGUGCUCUGGCCUUCUCUGGCCUCUCCUUUCUAACCCACCAACCCUGUCUGGCUGGGAUAUAGGCCUGGUUCAUAAGUCCCCUCUGCUAUACUCCACCUUUGCCUCAGGUCUCUCAUCCCUUUGCCUUCUGCCCGCCACCCACCUGGAUUGGAAGCCCACCGUGGGGGUUGUCUCUUGGCUGCUGAGCGCUCAGCAGGGCCCCUGUGGUCAGCAAAUGGGUGAUGUGGGAGUGCAGAUGACACACCCUGGUUGGGUUCUUUCCGUGAGAAAGUGGCAUUGGGUAUUUCUAAAAUGACUGUGGUUUUCUUAAAUUUUCUAACCACAAAAAUGUUAUGAGUUUCUCACCGUGGCAGAUCAAAUAGAAAUAUGAUUCAUGCUUCACAAUUUGUGUAGCCAAUAUCAUAGAUAUUUGGUAGUUCUAUUAUGUAUCUGACAGGUACAUAUAUUUUUUUCCUCUAAGAGAUUGUUCUGUGUGAAUAGAUAGAAACUACUUAAAUACAGUAAAGUCUAUUUAUUACAGACCAAGAGCAAACAGUUUACUAAAUGGAAAAAUGCUGAAGUCAUUUCUAUUAAUUCAAGAUCAAGACAGAGUGCCCAUUGUCAUCACUAUUGAUCUACACAGCAUUGGUGGGUUUAACUAAUAACAAUAAGAUGAAAAUGAAUUGAUUGGAAUAAGCAUUGGAAAUGAAGACAGAAAUGUCUUUAUUUGCAGAUGAUUGAGAGUAUACCUAGACAACCUAUAGAUCCUAAUAAAAUAAUAUUAAAAUUAGUAAGAGAAUUUAGUAAGGUAGAUAGGUAGAUAAAUAUAUAAAUAUAAAGCUUUGGUUUAUGGUAACAAUAAACAUUUGAGAAGGGAAAUGAAAAAAAAUAGCCUAUUCAUAAUAACAGCAGGCACUCACUAUACAAUUCCUAAGGAUGCAUUUAACAAGAAAAGGUAAACUAUUUACAGAAGUAAAAUGAUACAAUCGUAUUGAAGGACAUUUUAAAAAAAACCCUCAGCAAAUGGAUAUGUACAAGCCAUGCUUCUGUAUGGAAAGAUGUAACAUCAAAAAAUACCAGUUCUUAAAAAACUAAUGUAUUAAAUUUAAGACAUUACUAUAUAAAUUUAAUGCAAUUGCAGUUAGAAUUUUACUUCUAAGAACCGGAUAAAGUAAUUUUAGAUUCUAUGUAGAUAAAAUAAUUGUAAAGUAAAUGUAAAAUAACUAUACAUUUCAAAUGUUCAGAGAAAAAUAGUGAAGAAAAUGCGAAUGCAUGGGGACCAGUUCUAGUAUAGACAAUAAAACUCAGACUCAAGCAACCAAUACCAAAACAGUAUGUUGCUGGCACCGGAUCUGGCCAAUGUAUUAAGGAAACAGACCUGAGAGCCCAGAAAUAGAUGAGUAGAGAAAUCUAAAAUAUGAUGAUGGCAUUUUCAGUCAGAGAGAAAGGGUGGUUCCAGCAAUUGUUCAGGUACAACUGUUUAUCCAACUUUAAGAAAAACAAACAGAGAUUCUACUUUAACCAUAUGUAGAAACAAAUUCUAGGUGAUUUAAAGAUUUACUUGUCAAAAUAAGACAUUAACAUAUUAGGACAGAAUUUAGGGGUCUAUUUAUAUAAUCAUAGAGGGAGGGAGCACUCUUUCCUUCCCUUCCCUUCCCUUCCCUUCCCUUCCCUUCCCUCCCUCCCUCCCUCUCUCUUUCUCUCUUUCUCUCUUUCCUUCUCUCUCUCUCUUUCUUUCCUUCUUUCUUUCUUUCUUUCUUUCUUUCUUUCUUUCUUUCUUUCUCUCUUUCUUUCUUUCCUUCUUUCUUUUUUUUUUUUUUAAAUAGAGUUUUGCUCUUGUUGCCCAGACUGGAGUACAAUGGUGUGAUCUCAGCUCAACGCAACCUCCACCUCCUGGGUUCAAGUGAUUCUCGUGCCUCAGCCUCCUGAGUAGCUUGGAUUACAGGCCUCUGCCACCACACCUGGCUAAUUUUGUAUUUUUAGUAGAGGUGGGGUUUCUCCAUGUUGGUCAGGCUGGUCUUGAACUCCCGACCUCAAGUGAUCUGCCUACCUCAAACUCCCAAAGUGCUGGGAUUACAGGCGUGAGCCACCGCGCCCAGCCAGAAGGAGCACUUUCUAAACAAGCUAGAAAUCCCAGAAGCCAUCAACAAAGGGGGAGAUAUAUGUUGACUACAUGAAAAUUAAACAUUUUAUAAGAGAAGGAUCCAUGAGCAAAAUCAAAGAGCAAACAACAGACUAGGAAAUGUAUUUCCAACACACAAUCAAUCUCUUAAACCAUUGAAAAACUAUGAAUUAAUUAUACUUUUAAAAGAUAAAUUUAAAUUGUAGCAAGAAAAUGCUAAAGGACUAUGAGCUGCUAAUUUGCAGAAGAAGCAAUCCAAGCACCCAGAAAACACAUGAAAGGAGACUCAGAGAACAGAAAUUCAACAAAUGAGGCAACAGGGCCACCUAAGGUUUUAGGGUGACCAACUUGUCCUUGUUUGCCCAGGAGUCUCCUAGUUUUGAAACUCCUUAGUCCUGGGCAAACUGAGAUGGUUGCCCUUGACAGAAGAAAGAAAAGCCUGAAUCAGGUAUUUGAACUUUGAAUGGACCAAGAGUGUACUCAAUGAGAUUGAGUUAACCCCAAAAGACUUAAACCCCAGAAAGAGACUAAGUGGACUUCAAUGAGCAGCUUUGUGUUUUCUUACCAUUAAGGGAUUAGGGGCUCCAGGAUGAGGUGGCAGCAAUUCUAGGCAGUAAAGAAAGUUACUGACAUGGCUGGAAAGUUUGUAUACAAAGGUGGUUUAGGGUCAUGUGGGGGCUGAAACCUAGCUCAUGCUCUGCUUGUCGAGCUGUGUGUCCUGGUGUGGGGCUGAGCCCGUCUGGACCAAGGGAUGCCCUUGACUCUGCACACAGGUGUGCAUGGGUUAGAGGGACCCUAGUGAUGGCCGUCCUGUCAUCUGGGCUUGGUAGAGCCCAGGCCCAAAGCAUGGUGACACUCAGAGGACACACUCCUGCAUGGUCCAAGGCAGUGUUUCAGGGAAGAAUCUGUCUGGGUGGAGGCCUGGUGGGCUGGAGGGCUUGGAGGUGUCUGUGAGGUUGCCCUGCAGGCCCUGACCUCUCAGAGAUUGUACUGAGGGAGUGCCAGUCCUCCUGGUUGUCUGACUGGCUGUGCCCCCACUGCCACCCUCUCAGCCUACAGCCUCUUGCUCUUCACUCAGCCAGCUCCACAGGAACCUUUUUACAUUCUGAGCUCAGCAGUUCUUCUUCCCCACAGCCAGGCCCCUGGCCCCCUCCUCCCUGUAGCCUUCCUUGCCUGGGCUCUGAGAACCUGCCCUGACUGCAGACUGGGGUCUUUGUUAAUCUAGAUGAGGGCCCGGGGGCUGAGCUUCAGGUCUCAGAAUGUGCUUUCUAAGGUGGCCACCUUGAGACCUCCCAUCCCAUAAGCUCUUCUUACAAUGUGUUGUUGACUUUCCUCCCAUUGAGAGGUGGGGGUGCCUUUGAAUUUGGGAGGGACUAUGUCAUACAACUAUGACAAAAGUGACUGUCUUCAUCUGUUUUCUAUUGUUAUAACAGAAUAACACAGACUUGGUGAUUUUUUUUUUUUUUGAGACAGGGUCUUGCUCUGUUGCCCAGACUGGAGUGCAGUGGUUUGAUCUCGACUCACUGCAACCUCCAUCUCCUGGGUUCAAGUGAUCCUCCCACUUUAGCCUCUGGAGUCACUGGGACUACUAUGUGCACAACACCACACCCAGCUAAUUUCUGUAUUUUUUGUAGAGAUGGGGUUUCACCGUGUUGUCCAGGCUGUUCUCAAACUCCUGGGCUCAAGUGAUGCACCCACCUCAGCAUCCCAAAGUGCUAGGAUUACAGACAUGAGCCACCACUGUGCCCACCCCAGACUGGGUGAUUUAUAAAGAAAAUAAGGGGUUUUUUUGGGCUCAUGGAGGCUGGGAAACCCAAGAGCAUGGCACUGGCAUCUGGUGAGGGCUUUCUUGCUGCAGCAUCUCGUGGUGGAAGGACAAGUGAACAUGACAGACAGAGAAUGGAGGCUAAACUUAAGCUUUUUAUCAGGAGUCUACUCCCAUGAUAACUAACCUGCUCCCACAAUAAUGGCCUGAAUGCAUUCAUUAGAAUGGUGUCCCUGUGACUUACUCACCUCUUAAAGGCUCCGUAUCUUAAUACUGUUACAGUGUCAAUUAAAUCUCAACAUGAGCUUAGUAGAGGUCAAACAUUCAAACUCCAGCAGUGACAUUAUGUGAGGCUCAUUCCUAAAAGGCAAUACAGCUUCUGCCUGGUUCUCUUGGGACACCUGCUCUUGGAAUCCAGCUACCAUGCUGUGAGGAAGCCCAAGCCUCCUGGAGAGGCCAUGUGUGGCUCUUCUGACUGAGCUGACAACCAGAUUGGUUAUGGAAACUUCUGAGAUGGCUCCAGCCCCAAUUAACCUCGAUUGUGUAAGAAACAUCUAGCUGAACCCAUUCAACCGCCAGAACUGUGAGAGGUGAUAAUAAAAAUAUUGCUCAUGUUUUAAGCCACCGUGUUUUGGGAUGAUUUGUAAACAGCAAUAGAUAAUUGGUGCCACAAUUCUGGCAGCAGAGCACUAAGACCAAAACCCUGUUAUAAGCUUCUGCUCUGAUCAUUUAACCCCUACCACUUUCCUGGGUGAUCAGCCAUUUGUUCAACUUGCAUUGGGUGAGCAUUCGCCUCAUGCCAGGCUCUGUGUCACACUGAGGGCCCAGUGAGGGGUGAACAAACAGACUUGGUGCUGGCAUUCAGAGAAGGGACAUCUGUUACUCGGGAGACCCUCAUUCCCCUUAUCUCAUGAAGUGAAGGGGAUCUGGUCCCACCUGGCUUCUUCCCUCUUCCUUUCCCUGCAGCCAGGCUGGGCCUGGAGUGUCCUAGCACAUGUCACUCUAGUGACUGAAUUCUGGACAUUAUUAUUGGCUUCCUGUGAGAACCGAAGCAGGGGCCCUUGAGGGAUAAGAUCAGAUGAACAGGUUUAAACCAAAAGGGAGACAAAGCCACCCCAAACUGAGAGGCAGGAUGGAGUACAGGGAGACGUCCAGAAAGCAGGGACCUAAUCUAGGAUGGGGAGAUUUGAAAGACAGGAAGGAGGGUCUGUGCUGGUGGUUGGCAUUGUUGGGGCGCCAAGGGGGUCACUCAGGGUGGUGUCUCUCAUGUGGCCUUUGGUUCUUUCUCCAGAGAAGCACUCAGGCGAGGAGGCUGGGUCAUGUUUCAGGGUUGUUAAAAAUACAGCAGUAACUCACUGAGUGCCGCCUUCUAUGGGGUUGGCCUGGGGAGCUGUAAAGUAUAAAGGGAAACCUCUUCCCCAGGUGCAAGGACCUGCUGCUGGCAGUUGAUGGAGCAACUGUGGGAGUGGUGAUUGGCUGCUUUGAGGAGGCCCAAGAAGUGAGCUGCCACCUCACAACUCCAGGGGCUGGGCAAGGAUGAGAGAGUCUCAGAUUCAUUGCUGGGGCUUGGAGUCUAAGGGGCAUGGAGGGAUGUAGUAGUCAGCUAGAGCUGCCAUAAUAAAGCACCAGAAACAGGAUGGCUUACACAACAGAAAUGUAUUUUCUCAUCGUUCUGCAGACCAGAAGUCCAAGAUCAAGGGGUCAGCAGGAUUGUUCCUCCUGAGGGUUAGGAGGGAGAAUCUGCUCUAGGCCUCUCUCCUGGUUUCUAGUGUUUGCCAGCAAUCUUUGCCAUUUCUUGGUUUGUAAAAGCAUCACCUGAUUUCUGCCUUGGUCUUCAGGUGAUGUUCUCCCUGUCUGCAUGUUUGUGUCUAAAUUUCCCCUUUUUAUAAGGACAUCAGUCAUAUUGGAUUAGGACUCACCCUUCUCCAGUAUUACUGCAUCUUAACUUGAUUACUUCUGUAAAGAUUUCUUCUCCAAGUGAAGUCACAUUCUGAGGUACUGGUUAGGACUCCAGUGUAUGGCUUUGAAGGGACACAAUUCACCCAUAACAUGAGACGAUAAUGUCAACCAGGCACCUAGUUCUAUAGCUGACUUCUUGAUCUCAGGUAAUGUGCUCAACAACUCUGUGAUAAAAAUACUAUACAUUUUUUUCUAAUUAUUUAUUAUAAAAUUUUAAAAACAUACAGCAGUCACUACUAAAAAUACAAAAAAUUAGCUGGGUGUGGUGGUGGGUGUCUGUAGUCCCAGCUACUCGGGAGGCUGAGGCAGGAGAAUGGCGUGAAUCUGGGAGACAGAGCUUGCAGUGAGCUGAGAUUGCACCACUGCACUCCAGCCUGGGCGACAGAGCAAGACUCUGUCUCAAAAAAAAAAAACAAAAAAAACCCAAACAUACAGCAAAGCUGAAAGAAUUUUACAGUGAGCACCCUUCCCAUAUGCCCACUAGCUACAUUCUACUAUUGACAUUUUACCUUAUUUGCCUUGUCACAUAAUCUGUCCAUCUAUUCAUCCUCAAUCCACCCAUUAAUCCACCUUAUUUUCUGGUGCAUUUCAAAGUAAAUUGCAAACAUCAAUACGUUUUUCCCUAAAGUUAGCAGUCAAUCAUUAACUAGAGUUCAAUAUUUUCUUUACAGAUUUUUCUUCUGAGGUACAAUGAAGUGCUCAAAUCUUAAGUAUACAUUUAUUGAGUUUUAAGGAAAGCAAACAGCUGUGUAAUCCAAAUGCCUAGCAAGAUAUAGAACAUUACCAUCACCAUGGAAAUUUCCCUCAUGUCCUUUCCCAAUCUCUGCCUCCACCCCUCAGAGGCAACCACCAGUCGAUUUUUCCACUGUAGCUUAGUUUUGCCUGUUCUAGAACUUCAUAAAAAGUGGAAUCAGAUGCAAUUUACUCAUUCAUUUAAGGCUUCUUCCACUGAUCGUCAUGUUGUCAAGCUUCAUCCGUGCUGAAUGAAUGUUGUAGUGUGUAUCUGUAAUUCAUUGCUCCUUAUUGCUGAGUAGUAUCUCAUUGUAUGGACGUGCCACACUUCUCCUGAUGAGCCUCUGGGCUGUUUUCAGCUCUCGGCUACUGCAAAUAAGUAUGUAUUUGCAUCUCCAUUUUAGGGAUAACGAAGUGAUGCUCAGGAAGUUUAAGUGGCUUGUUGAAGGUCAUAUGGGUCAUGAGGGGCAGAACCAAGAUUUGAACUCAGCCAGAUUGGUCAGAUGCCAGAGCCUAAAGCAUUUUCUUUUUAAUUCCUUUGUGAUAUGUUUGCUUUCCGUGGUGUGGGGUGGCCUGGGAAGUAAAGUAUACCAUGGGAUGUGUAUUUUACCUUCAUCUGACUGAUUUGCAUUAUAGUCAGGCAGUCUGCAAUUGCAAGAGUGGUUUUGAGUCCCUGCUUCACCAUUUACCAGCCGUGUGACCCUGGGCACAUGACUAAACUUGCUUCUGUCUCUGCUUCCUGAUCUGUACAAUGGGGAGAUAACAGCAUACAUAGGGUUGUUGUGAGGGUUAAAUAACGAAUUAAUAUAUGAAAGCCCAGUGACUGUGCCAGGCAUAUGGUAAGUGCCAUAUGAAUGUGAGAUAUUUGACAAUUAUCUCUUGAGCACUAUCUCCAGGCCACAUCCAUGUGCUAAGUAUACAAGGAUGACUAACGCAUUGUAUCGGGCCCACCUUGUCUGCACCUUUCAUCCUCUGGAUAGAUCCCUCUUUUCCUGUGGCCAUUGGUGAGGCCAUCAGCUUCAAGCAGGUAUACCUGUCGGCAUCUUGCCUUGUUGUUCCCUCCUCUCUAUGAGGAACUGCCAUACCCUUCUCCACCGCGGCUGCGCCACUUCACAUCCCAGCAACAGUGCACAGGGGUUCCAGUGUCUCCACAUGCUUGCCAACAUGUCUCCCUCCUUUCCUCCCUCAUUCCCUCCCUCCCUUCCUUCCUUCCUUCUUUCUUUCCUUCCUU